rnacentral:rRNA from 1 species
UACGUAGGGGGCUAGCGUUGUCCAGAUUUAUUGGGCGUAAAGAGCGUGUAGGCGGCCAGGUAGGUCUGCUGUGAAAACUCGAGGCUCAACCUCGAGACGUCGGCGGAAACCAUCUGGCUAGAGUCCGGAAGAGGAGAGUGGAAUUCCUGGUGUAGCGGUGAAAUGCGCAGAUAUCAGGAAGAACACCAACGGCGAAGGCAGCUCGCUGGGACGGUACUGACGCUGAGACGCGAAAGCGUGGGGAGCGAACAGG